rnacentral:tRNA from 1 species
UCCUCGAUAGCUCAGUGGUAGAGCAUCCGGCUGUUAACCGGAGGGUCGUAGGUUCGAAUCCUACUCGGGGAGCCA